rnacentral:lncRNA from 1 species
AAAGGAUUAUUAUUAUUCUUUCUGUUAGAUGAGGAACUUCAGGAUCAAAGAGGUUAAAUAAUUUCCCCAAGUUGAUAGGUAGCAAAUACAGGACAAUUUAAAAAAUGCAUGCAAAAUCUGUGUUCCACAUAUGAGGGAAAAUGUGAUAUUUGUGUUCCUGGGUUUGGGUGAUUUCUGUAAUAUAACUUCCAGUUCUACCCAUUUCCCUGCAGAUGAUGUGAUUUGUUCUUCAAAGACAGGAUCUGAAUCAAGAUAAUGAUUUUAGAAAGUCAGAACCCAUACAAGAAUAAGCCUACAUUUCAGCUGAAUGUUUAUCAGAAGCCACUAAGCAAUUUCAGCAGGUUUCUCAGGGUCACAUGGGAGUCCUGCUUUCUCAGUGCUAAGCCAUUUUACAGAAAGCAGUCAGACUCUGACACAGGCAAAAGCUGCCCUCAUGUGCUUAGAUGACUUGAGAGGUAAGCACUGAGCCAUACUCCUGGAAUCCAGUUGUAGAGAGGGAGGGGGGGAUGAGCAAAGAGCCAAGACGGUGCUGGGGAAACCCACAGAAACAGUUGACCUGACCUAAUGAGAGCACAGGGACCCCAGGGACCUGUAAAGCUGAGGAACCAGCAUUGGACAAAACCAAACCCUCAGAAUGUGGGUGCCAGCUAGGAGGCCUGGGCAGUCUAUAGGACCUCUAACAGUGGAGCCAGUCUUUAUCCCUAGUGCACAAAUGGACUUUGGGAGCCCAUUCCCUAUGGAGGGAUAUUAUUGCAGCCUAGAUACAGCAAGCUCUCCCAAAUGAUAUGACAGAUUUUGAUGAUCCCCUGUGGAAGGCCUCAUUAUCCUUGGGGAGUGGGUGGGGGUCAGUGGGAGCAUGGGAGGGUGGGAGGGUGAGGGAAUGGGGGGUUGCUAUGUAAAAUAAGAUUGUUUCUAAAAUAAAAUAAAAAGAGGCCAGUGUCA